rnacentral:tRNA from 1 species
GCGCGCACGGCGAGGUGGUCGUGCCGCUCGACGUUCAGGGUGCCGAAGCGUCGUUGCGCCGCGUGUUCGACUCGGGCGUGCGUGCGC